rnacentral:rRNA from 1 species
GAUGAACGCUGGCGGCGUGCCUAAUACAUGCAAGUCGAGCGAACAGACGAGGAGCUUGCUCCUCUGACGUUAGCGGCGGACGGGUGAGUAACACGUGGAUAACCUACCUAUAAGACUGGGAUAACUUCGGGAAACCGGAGCUAAUACCGGAUAAUAUCUUGAACCGCAUGGUUCAAUAGUGAAAGACGGUUUUGCUGUCACUUAUAGAUGGAUCCGCGCCGCAUUAGCUAGUUGGUAAGGUAACGGCUUACCAAGGCAACGAUGCGUAGCCGACCUGAGAGGGUGAUCGGCCACACGGGAACUGGGACACGGUCCAGACUCCUACGGGAGGCAGCAGUAGGGAACCUUCCGCAAUGGGCGAAAGCCUGACGGAGCAACGCCGCGUGAGUGAUGAAGGUCUUCGGAUCGUAAAACUCUGUUAUUAGGGAAGAACAAAUGUGUAAGUAACUAUGCACGUCUUGACGGUACCUAAUCAGAAAGCCCCGGCUAACUACGUG